rnacentral:rRNA from 1 species
UAGGGAAUCUUCCACAAUGGACGCAAGUCUGAUGGAGCAACGCCGCGUGAGUGAAGAAGGUUUUCGGACCGUAAAGCUCUGUUGUUGGUGAAGAAGGAUAGAGGUAGUAACUGGCCUUUAUUUGACGGUAAUCAACCAGAAAGUCACGGCUAACUACGUGCCAGCAGCCGCGGUAAUACGUAGGUGGCAAGCGUUGUCCGGAUUUAUUGGGCGUAAAGCGAGCGCAGGCGGAAGAAUAAGUCUGAUGUGAAAGCCCUCGGCUUAACCGAGGAAUUGCAUCGGAAACUGUUUUUCUUGAGUGCAGAAGAGGAGAGUAGAACUCCAUGUGUAGCGGUGGAAUGCGUAGAUAUAUGGAAGAAUACCAGUGGCGAAGGCGGCUCUCUGGUCUGCAACUGACGCCGAGGCUCGAAAGCAUGGGUAGCGAACAGGAUUAGAUACCCUGGUAGUCCAUGCCGUAAACGAUGAGUGCUAAGUGUUGGGAGGCUUCCGCCUCUCAGUGCUGCAGCUAACGCAUUAAGCAACUCCGCCUGGGGGAGUACGACCGCAAGGUUGAA